UACAGAGGGUGCGAGCGUUAAUCGGAUUUACUGGGCGUAAAGCGUGCGUAGGCGGCUGAUUAAGUCGGAUGUGAAAUCCCUGAGCUUAACUUAGGAAUUGCAUUCGAUACUGGUCAGCUAGAGUAUGGGAGAGGAUGGUAGAAUUCCAGGUGUAGCGGUGAAAUGCGUAGAGAUCUGGAGGAAUACCGAUGGCGAAGGCAGCCAUCUGGCCUAAUACUGACGCUGAGGUACGAAAGCAUGGGGAGCAAACAGGAUUAGAUACCCUGGUAGUCCAUGCCGUAAACGAUGUCUACUAGCCGUUGGGGCCUUUGAGGCUUUAGUGGCGCAGCUAACGCGAUAAGUAGACCGCCUGGGGAGUACGGUCGCAAGACUAAAACUCAAAUGAAUUGACGGGGGCCCGCACAAGCGGUGGAGCAUGUGGUUUAAUUCGAUGCAACGCGAAAAACCUUACCCACCUUUGACAUGUACGGAAGUUGCCAGAGAUGGUUUCGUGCUCGAAAGAGAACCGUAACACAGGUGCUGCAUGGCUGUCGUCAGCUCGUGUCGUGAGAUGUUGGGUUAAGUCCCGCAACGAGCGCAACCCUUGUCAUUAGUUGCUACGAAAGGGCACUCUAAUGAGACUGCCGGUGAUAAACCGGAGGAAGGUGGGGAUGACGUCAAGUCCUCAUGGCCCUUAUAGGUGGGGCUACACACGUCAUACAAUGGCUGGUACAGAGGGUUGCCAACCCGCGAGGGGGAGCUAAUCCCAUAAAACCAGUCGUAGUCCGGAUCGCAGUCUGCAACUCGACUGCGUGAAGUCGGAAUCGCUAGUAAUCGCGGAUCAGAAUGUCGCGGUGAAUACGUUCCCGGGUCU
rnacentral:rRNA from 1 species